rnacentral:ncRNA from 2 species
CAGCUAUCAAGAGCAGGUGAGUGAUACAGCACUAUGACCCUGCACCAACCGGCAAAUAUGUCAACGCAUAUUGUGUCACGGUGGUCCAUCUGUACAGAUAGUCG